AUUGAACGCUGGCGGCAGGCCUAACACAUGCAAGUCGAACGAGUGGCGGACGGGUGAGUAAUGUCUGGGAAACUGCCUGAUGGAGGGGGAUAACUACUGGAAACGGUAGCUAAUACCGCAUACCAUCAGAUGUGCCCAGAUGGGAUGCGCGAGUUGGUGGGGUAACGGCUCACCAAGGCGAAGAUCCCUAGCUGGUCUGAGAGGAUGACCAGACACACUGGACCUGAGACACGGUCCAGAACCCUACGGGGGGCAGCAGUGGGAAAUAUUGCACAAUGGGCGCAAGCCUGAGGCAGCCAUGCCGCGUGUAGGAAGAAGGCCUUCGGGUUGUAAAGUACUUUCAGCGGGGAGGCGUUACCCGCAGAAGAAGCACCGGCUAACUCCGUGCCAGCCGCCGCGGUAAUAC
rnacentral:rRNA from 1 species